rnacentral:rRNA from 1 species
GCCCAUGGCCAUACCACCCUGCACGCCCCCGAUCCUGUCUGAUCUCGGAAGCUAAGCAGGGUCAGGCCUGGUUAGUACUUGGAUGGGAGAUUACCUGGAAGGUAACACAGGGAGAAUGAGGC